ACAUACAAUCAGCUGCAUCUUCUUGCAGAAAUCAUUAAAUCAAGGUUUUACCUUUAAACCCCUCUUUCAAUCUCUUCCAUUGACUAAUCAUGAUUCAAACACCAUUAGGACUUUGCAAAUCAACUCACCCAGUCAUACAAGAAAAACAAAGAAAUCAAAUUUUACAUGUUGUAUUGACUGAACAAGAGGAAUAAAAGUAGAUUGCAGCUGUAAAAAUUCAAACUUGAGUCUUGGUUUUGGUUGUUGAAUGUUGAGUGUUGUUGCUGACUGUUUGAAGUCGAGGGGCAGAAAACGGGCCGCGCGGUGGUGGCGGCUCCUCGCUGCUGUCGCCGGUAGUCGGAGCAAAGAAGAGUGGGAAUCGGUGGUCUCGGGGCUAGGGCUCAGACGGCGCCUCCGUUCGAAAGCCGAGCGGUGGUAGCUGGCCGGUGGUGUGUAGGUGUGCCCUAUUUUCAGUCGGAGAAAGAGAGUCGGGGAGGCGGCUAUAGUCGUCGGGGAUUGAAGAGAAAUACAAGGGAGGUGUCUAGAUCUAGUGCUCGGCGGCGGCGGCGGCUCCGUCGUCGUUUCAUCCGGAGCAAAGGAAAGGGAGGCUUUGGGGCGUGCGGCGGUGGCUGGCUUCACUAGCUGCUGCUGCUGCUGCUCGCCGGAAUCGGAGAAAAGGGAUUCGGUGUUGGGGAUUUAGGGCUGAGAAGAGAGGGAAGUCGGAGGAGAUAAGACGAGAGGCGGCGGUGGCCGGCUCUUCGCCGCUGCUACCGUCGACUGUGGAGUCGAGAGAAAUGGGGGCGAGGGAGAUGACUGACCGGCGGUUCUUCGCCGGAGGAGACAAGAGGUGAGGAGCGAGGGUGUGUUCCUGGUGACUAGUGUGUGUGAGGAGGAGAGGGACAAAAGGGGUGGGGGAGACGCAGGUGUGAGUGAGAGGGAGUGAUAAGGGGUUAGGGCUUGGACCUUUGGGUAUUUUGGGCUUUGUUUUGGGCUGCGUUUUAUUUCAAUUGGGCUGCUCAUAUUUUAUUUUGGGCUGCGAAUUUUUAAAACAAAAACAUGGGCUUCCACUUAAUUGUUAGACUUCUUAAAUUGAUUUAUUAAUUUGACUCUUUAAUUUGAGUUUAAUUAAUUAUUGUUAGAAAAAAAUUUGCAUAAUAGUAUUUUUCUUAUUAUGUGCAUAUGUUAU
rnacentral:lncRNA from 1 species